UCGAAAAGCAGGCAUAGGAACGGGGUGGUUUUUAGUCAAUUAAAGUCUGACACUACACGGAAGAGUUAUAGGACAAUUUUCCCCGCUAAAAAAGCCAUACUCGUAGCUUUCCAAUAUUAAGAAAAAAAUUAAAAGUGCUUUGACCGAAAAUAACUUUUGAUGCACACAUGUGAUCUAUGAGGACUUUGUUGUGGAUCUGCCCUAUUUUUUAUUAUUAUGCCUCUCCAUGGAAUAGAGCAAAUUAGGUGAAGUGGCAUCCAACAAAAUGACUAGCGGAACCAGUGUCGCCAAAGGCACACAAAUGAAAUGCUAAUUAUAUCGUGUCGAAUAUCUUAGCCUUAGUUUGAAAAUAAAAGUUUAUUUUGUGUUGAAAAAUGAACAGAGUGAUAAAAAUAAAGCAAUCUCAUGCUUUUUAUCCCCAAAGGGGUAGGCAGUGGUGCACAUUACGGCACGUAAUGCCGCUAUACAAUGUACACCCACUUCACCAUUUGUGUUAUAAGUCCCAUGUAAUAGGGGAUGAGCCUAUUGCCAUAUACUGGACAUAAUUCCAUACUCCGUGCUUCUACUGAGAAAAUCCCAGUAAUACUUUGCCCGACCCGGGAAUCGAACCCGAGACCCCUUGUUCGGCAGUUGCACUUGCGACCACUCGACCAACGAGGCAAUCAAACAUAAUAAUUUUAUCAAAAAUAUAAACAAAGAAUAUUAUGUUUUAAUUAGAUAAGAUAUAUUAUGUACUGUAAACAUUAAUUUUUUCUUAGUUUGGUAUGUUGUAGUGAUAAGUUGAUUAAUCACUACUAGUGGUCGCCUAGUGGUUGAAAUUCAACCAUAAACUAUAUAAUUUACAAUACCACUUAACAUACGUUCAAGGAUAAUUUUUAUUUAACUCAAACUCAAACAAACUCUUUUCAUAUGAGACGUGAGAAUAUCAUCGCAAUGUCUAUUGAUUUUGACGUUUUGUCAUAUACGAUCAGAUACUAUGCAUGUGUGUGUAAUGUUUUAUUUAUUGAUUUAAUGUACUUUAUAAGCAUUAUUUUUUUUAAAUAUUAGCGUUCUGCACUUCUCCUACACAUAAACUAUAAGUGUACCAAAUUUUAUGCUCCUACGUCCGCGCAAUUUUCGUAAAAAGAUGUAUAAAGUUUUUGCAUCACGUAUUAAUAUAUAGAUACUCACUAAAAAUGCAAUAACAGAGUGCUUUUCCAUCGGAGAUGUGCUAUGCUAUCCGGUUAGCUUCCACCAAUCAUAUUCAUUGGUACACUUAGCUUAGCACUGGUGCAAACGAACUCAGUUAAGCUAUGUUUCUUAUAAUGAAAGAUGUGCUAUGACUACUAAUGAUGCAUGCUAUGCAUACUAUGGAUGGCUUCCCUACUAUCCAUACAUCGCAUACUCGAGCUGCGCAUCUUUCUCGCACAGCUACUUUGCGGCGGCACAGCCACAUAGCACACCUUACUCGCACAGCUUAGCAUCGGUGGAAACGGUUACAUAGUUUCACAGCUUAGUUAUUACAUCUUCGUAGCAUAGCUAUGUACAUAGGCCAUCUCUGGUGGAAAAGCACCGAAUUAUUUAUCAAUGCGGAUGAAAUCGCGGGCAAAAGCUAGUUUUGAAUAAAGCGAUAACUAAAUAAAGAUAUUGCAUAAGUUUUUUGGUUCUGAGUUGUUCAUACGCAGUCAUUAAGCAUUUAAAACGUGAGUAUAAAUAGCGCGAGCUGCAGUGUGCCGGCAUCAUUCAGUGGUGCAGUACUUACUUACCGCGCGGCAGAGUCGACGAGUCCCGCACAAGAUGAAGUCGUGCACAAUAUUGUUCCUGCUCAUUGUCGCACUCUGUGCUUGCGGUGCUUUAGGAGCACAGAUUUACAUUGUAGAUUCGCGUUGUCGUGACAUGAUAGAAACAUGCUUUAAUAUAGGUGGUCAAGGAACAUGUGAAGUUGUUAGCGGUAAAUUGUCAUCGACUUGUGUGCUGGCGCAAGCUGCGAGUUUGAUAGAGGACAGUUAUUAUGGAAAUGAACAAUAGAACCAACUGAAUCAAGCACGACUCGGAAAUCGAACCAAAAUUAUUGAAACUCACAAAUCGACUUCAAGCACUGACAAGUAGCUAAUUUUACAAGUUUCAAAGUCAACUUCUUCAUCGUCAUCACAUCGAGCACAAGCCGUCCACUGCUGAACAUACGCCUCCCCCAAUGGCUCGAGCGGUCGGUUGGAAGCGGCCUGCAUCCAGCGGCUCCCUGCGACUGCGUCAGGUUUUAAUCUUGCUUACACGCCCAGUAAACGUGUUACUGUAACGUUAUCAAUAAACAUUAACCAGCUGC